rnacentral:rRNA from 1 species
ACGGAAGGCAGCAGUGGGGAAUAUUGGGCAAUGGGCGAAAGCCUGACCCAGCAACGCCGCGUGAAGGAAGAAGGUCUUCGGAUUGUAAACUUCUGUUGCAAGGGAAGAAGAAAGUGACGGUACCUUGCGAGGAAGCUACGGCAAACUAUGUGCCAGCAGCCGCGGUAAUACAUAGGUAGCGAGCGUUAUCCGGAAUAACUGGGCGUAAAGGGAGUGUAGGUGGCCAAAUAAGUUAGAUGUGAAAGACCGUAGCUUAACUACGGAAAUGCAUUUAAUACUGUAUGGCUAGAGUAUGAAAGAGGUAAACGGAAUUUCUAGUGUAGCGGUAAAAUGCGUAGAGAUUAGGAAGAACACCAGAGGCGAAAGCGGUUUACUAGUUCAAAACUGACACUGAGGCUCGAAAGCGUGGGGAGCAAACAGGAUUAGAUACCCUGGUA